ensembl:lncRNA
AGGGAGGAGGGAAAUGAGGGUCUAGCUUUUUUGUUCUAGGCUUACUGGGCAAAGAAAAAAAAGUAACAAGACUGGGUGACUAUGAAUAUUUAAACCAGAGUCCCAUGAGGGCUCUGUAUGUGCACGAGGUGAUCCUGGUGAAAUUUUGGCAGCAUAUGUGCCUCUGUGAUAGAAGUUUGAAGCUGUCUUGUGAUGCAGGGCUCUUGUGAUUCAGAUAGAGCCAAUUACAGAUGGUUCUCAACAGCCCAAUGCAGGGCACAACCAAUCCUCUGAGCAGGGCUGUUCUUAGAUUAACAAACACCACACUUGCCUCUGUAUUGACUCCUGAGGUCAGUAUACAGAACAUCAUCUCUACUAAGCAGAGCUGAACACAAAAAUAACAUACUCUGAUCACCAGUUCAUUGGAAGAACAAUCAGGAGGAAUAGAGGUUUUCCUCUAUGCAUCUGAAAAAGAGAAGAAGCGAACGUGCUGCAAGGGAAAACAGGCCUCUUGGUCAAGGAGCAGUAUACCAGAGAGACAAAAGAAAAGUACUGAAGUGGAACAUCACUUGGCUCUGGAAAGUGCGGACUAAUUCUACUGCUAAUGAGAUGACUGUACAAAUGUUUCAGAAUCCACUAUCCAAAAAAAGUACAGUAGGAAGCAAUACUAUAAGCCACAUUGUUGCAUUUCUCCAUCAUAAAGGAACAUGAAUAUGCCCCCAAAUGAAGAAUAAGAUUCUGGAAAAAAAGAUCCACCCAAAGUCUGCAUUUUUAAAGAAAAAAGCGUGCAUCAUCUUCCAGCCCCUGUGAGUCGAAGAAAAAGGUACAUGAGCAAAAAAGAGCCAUGCAAGAUAUCUGCUGCUGCCUACAGGUUAUCUAAAUGAACGCUUCCACAAAGUAUGACUGUCACUGUCCCCUAUGUCUAAAUCUUUUAAAUCAAAUAAGAUCUAAGUUACAUAAGUUAAUGAUCAGAUGUCACUAAGUAAUGCUAUAUUUUUUUAGAUUGACUUUUUGUCUUUGAGAGUAAAACAUAGAAGCAUUAUAUGCACCUCCAGAUGUUGCAGUGCUGGAGAGAGGAUAUUCAUUUAUUUAUCAAACAUAAUCUGUGAGAAUAUGUGUUUUAAGUUCUCAAAUGUAUAACAUUUUCUGAAUCCAUGUUUUUCAUAGCAUUCACUGUAAUAAUUAGCUAAGAAAUAUUUGAAAAGUAAUUUUUUUCACCUCUCAAUAAACAGAAGAUAUUCACAGAGUGUUUUCUUCAAGAUGGACUGACAAAAAUAAGAAUUUUUCAUGUUCUAAUCAUUUAGUUGUUGAUGAAUGGCAUAUUCAUGGAAAUUUCCUUACUGACAGUGGUAUCAGAUCUACAGAUCUUGAUCCAGGAACUCAUUCAAAUACUUCUACUAAUCUAGUUUUCCAAUGAGAAAUACCUUUACUGGUUAUAUUUAAACUUUGGGAAAAGAAGGUUACAAUCAAGGAAGGGAAUAACUAUCAUGUUAUCAUGUUUCUAAUUUAACAGAAAUAAUGUUUGGUUGUGUAGGGAGAACUGUACUAGAGAUGCUAGACUAGCUGCUAAAGGGUAUAUGGGAAAAUGAGGGAAAUCAUAGUUGUUGCUAUCACAAAUUGUCAGUUGUGCGGUGAAUAAACACUAGUUUCAUAUUCAUGUGCGAUGGACUAUGCAGCAGACACUGUCCCUGUGGUAACAAAUGCUAGAAAAAGGUUUUCCAUGUAAGUCCAUUGAAUCACAGUUUCUUGAUUCCAGUCUUCUAACAUAUAUAACAUGUGCCACAUCAUUGAGUGCAUCAUUCACUUCUUUCUUUCCAUCCUUCAGAUGUUCAGUACUAUGUACUGAAUGAUAGUUCUCCUGAUGGCCAGCCAUAAUGGGUUUAUAUUACAGUACAUAUUUUAUGUAUUAAAAUCUCUCCUGGAUUAAAAAUGACUAGAAAUUAAACACACAGGAGUAAUCCAGAUGGAAAAUGGAACACAUUUUUGUCAGUACUUUUGAAGAUAUUGAAGAGAAGUUGUGGAGAAAAAGCCUUUAUUUUCACUUCCAUCAUUUCUGCAUCCUAUGUAUAUCCUAUAUAUAUUGGAACCAACUAUCUACAGCUUCUUUGUAUGAGGUCAAUGCUAUUCCUGUAAACAUUAGAUGUUCUGUUGUUAUUUGCAAUUAAUCCAACAACAACUGCUGAAAUUAAGUCACAACUCUCCCGAGCUGAAACAAGUACCUUCCAUAAAGAUGAAAAGGAUUAGACCUAUAUUUUAUAACACAUCCACAUUUUAUGAGGAUGCAGUUGGUGUUAAGCAAUCAUCUAUUUGGUGUUGAAUUGAUUACAAUCUUAAUUAAAAGCUGCUUAAUAUAUAUGAGCCACUUGUAUUUAGCAAUUCUUAUUUUAUUGCAAAAAAAUUCCUGUCAAGAGCUGUAGUAGCAAUCACAUCAACUGACUUUGGACAUUUCUGUUUGUUUUGUUGGUUUUCUUUUGUUGUUGUUUAUUGAGAUUCAAGAGGGACUUUAUCAUGACCCAGAGUCAGAAUCAAACAUGGGAUUUCAGGAAGGUCGGUUGGCUGAGAAAUACCCAGUAAUCAUUUAUAAACCUAUUAGUGUAACAUGAAUGAAAAUGUGGAGUUUGUUCAGAUCUAAUGCAUACAUUUGUAUUAGCACUGAAUGAAUCUACUUUGAAUACAACCUGUCCACUGUAUACACAAGAUAUUCUGGGUUGUUAAAUUACCUCCCACGUUAAUAGUUUUAUAAUUAAAGUAAAUAUUAUUCAU